GUAAUUGGAGGAUCGCGUUUCAUCAAAGAUGAAAGGAAUCGCGUGUAUGUUGUAUUAAUACAUAUAUCGGAUAGCCAUAUUAUAUACACAGGUUAUUGUAUUUUAGAUUAUUCCACGCGAAAAAGUCACUCAAGCAUAUGAUCCUAUGCUUACUUUAAGUCUUCAAGUCUGAGUUUUCAACAUCUUGUGAAUUAACACAAAGGGAAGAAGCCACAGAUCAAUUUAGGUUCUCAGAAUCUGUUUUACUUGAUGACCUUGUACUCCUUGUAUAUACGCUUAAAUGGUCAUAUUAUGAUUUCUUGAACCAUCCUUAUGAUCUUAUGAUCUCUUCUUGAAUGAUCAAUUUUGACUAAGCAAUACGUUAAUUUUUUUAAAAAAUCUUCUUUUCUUCUGUUCUGGAAUAAAAUCAUAAGAGAAAUAUCAAAUAAAUUUUGUAUUGCAUUUAGAUUGUUGUAAUUGAUUUUUUAGUAAAAUCGAUACAAUCGAGGUCGUAAGAAGAUCGUCAAUCGUAUAAAUAAUUCGAUACCUCAAUGCUUCUUCGUGUGCUGCAGAUGCAUGUAAACGAAUACAGUUAAAAUAGGCGUGACCGUGCAGCUCAAACUAUAUAUAAGAAGCGGACAAGCGGACGUAAAUGAAUGUUUGAAGAGUGGAACAAAAGUGGAUAGCGUAAAUACGAAUUCUUGACUGCACAUGUGCAAUCUAUUCUCUCCAUAAGCUGUACGCGACGAAGUAAUUUGUACUGGAUUCAGUUUUCGUCUAGUUCCAAUAAAAGAACAUGUACCAACACAAAUUUGGCACUUUUUUAACAUCUUUCUUUGGAUCUUCUUUUCAAAUAUAAAGCAGUCUUUCUAAAAAUUCUUUAACACUCAUUUCAAAUAAAAUUGUAAUUUCUUAAGCAAGAAGUCGCUCCUGUUUUGGUGAAUUUUUAGUAAUCUUUAGUUACUUUUUAAGCUCUGCAUAUAAAAAGUCCAAAAUAAACACUAAUAAAUAGUCGUUAUAUUUUCGAGUUUCUACACAAUUCAUGAAUAUCUUAAUAUCUUUUUAUCUAAUUUUUAAAUAGCAUGAAAUAUUUCCAAAAGGUCAACGAUAAAUUAACUUUUUCACAAAAAGAUAACAUUUCUUCUUCUUUGUUAUACUCCUUUUUAAUAGUAUUUUCAGAAUCUUCCUCAACAAGUCUCCCGUUCUUAUCAACAUUUCUGGGCAUGACAUCAUCCGUAUACUGUAGGAAUGGGUAUGCGUGUAUAUUGUACAUUAUAUGUUAAUCCUGUCUUCCUUUUCUUUUAUAAAACAAGCAUUAGAUUAUUUCUUUUGAGCAAGAAAACCAAUAUAUGUAUUUAAACGGGCGAAAAGGCGAUAAGAAUAUAUCUAUAGAUAAUGUUCACACAUCAUAUAUUUUAUCAAUUUUAUCACCCUCAAUGGGGUUAAGGACUGUGUUUCGAUAUUUGCCUCUGAUCGCUUUUACUACUUUUUUUUCUUGUUAACUAUAGAAAUGAAUGUAAGCUAAUGAGUAUUGAAAUAUGAAUACAGAAAAAUACAUGAAAAUGUAUUUUUAAAAAUAAACUUACUUUAAAAUU